UCACCUCAUAGGGCAUCCCCUGAUCAAGGAUGAUUCCAGACCUAUCGGGUGAACAACUAAACAACUGCCACCAGCCACUGGAAUAGCUGGUCGCCAAUUCUGAAGCGGGAGUAAUCCCAUUCGGACGGUCGACUAUUGCCUUUUUUGGCUGGUGCACG
rfam:Anaerocolumna xylanovorans DSM 12503 genome assembly, contig: EJ36DRAFT_scaffold00001.1